GGAGGAUGAUCUAGCUCGACAUCUGUCAUCUAAUUGAUAACUGGGAUUGAUUUGGCUGAUCUGGCUGGCCAGGUGGGUGUCUCCUUUCACUCUCAAUACUCCAUGUGAGUCUCUUUUGAAACUGCCUGGUAGGUGGAAGAGGACUACCUUUCCUGAGAGAGGAGGACCGUAUUUCAAUCAAGGGUAUACAACAAGCUGUGAUGCCCUACUAGAACCUUCAAUCAAUCCCUCAAGGUCCAUUUGUAUGAGAAUGUAGAUUAGUCAAGCUUCCAAGACUCCAGACACAUCUUUUAAAAAA
ensembl:misc_RNA 7SK 7SK RNA